CCAAGGAGUCUAGCGUGUGCGCGAGUCAUUGGGUGUAAAACCUAAAGGCGCAAUGAAAGUGUCAGGGGUGCCUCCUUCAGGAGGUCAUCCCGCAGGGAGGAUGGGCAUACCGUACGUUCACUCGGACGGAGCCCCGCACUCCCGGGGCGUCUCGUUCUCAUCACGAGUGGAGACGCACCAGGAGCGCACACGCUGGUACCCGAAAGAUGGUGAACUAUGCCUGGCCAGGACGAAGCCAGGGGAAACCCUGGUGGAGGUCCGAAGCGAUUCUGACGUGCAAAUCGAUCGUCUGAGCUGGGUAUAGGGGCGAAAGACCAAUCGAACCAUCUAGUAGCUGGUUCCCUCUGAAGUUUCCCUCAGGAUAGCUGGCUCUCGGGAAGAGACGAGUCUCAUCCGGUAGAGCGAAUGAUUAGAGGUGAUGGGGUCGAAACGACUUCAACCUAUUCUCAAACUCCCAAUAGAUGAGAGCCCAGGCUUGCUUAAAAGUGAAGCCGCGGGACUCGGAUCAGAGAUGCCAAGUGGGCCAAUUUU
rnacentral:rRNA from 1 species